AACGAAGUCUAGAUUGCGAUCAACUCUUGAUCUCUUUCCUUAAUCUUCUUCUUCUCUUUUUCUCUUGCCUUUCUACCCUUUCUUAUGCUACUACCAAGCACCAGGAACCAGCACCAAAGUGGAUGCCCAACAGCCUUAGGUGUGGAAAAGAAGUGGGACGCCUAAGAACAAGGACGUGUGGAUGUCCAAGGGGAGAAGAGAAAGGGAGGAGAAGAAAGGGCAUGGGGGCUCUC
rnacentral:lncRNA from 1 species